GGUGGCUUAGUGGUAGAGCGCUUGCCUUGAAUGCAUGAGGCCCUGGGUUCAAUUCCUCAGCACCA
rnacentral:tRNA from 1 species